AAAAUCUAAAAAGUGCUUUUUCAGAGAAGUUCCAAUUUAAAAAGCUGUUUUUAGCUUUCUGGAAAAGCUAAAUCAGCUUUUUGAAAUUUUUACCAAACAUCCUUGUUUCAUCUAAAAAUGCUUUUGGAGGGCCAGAAAGUACUUUUUGGCCCUCCAAAAGCUCUGUGAAACCGGCCUUGGUUAUAGCAAGGAAAGAAAAUGAUGGGCAGAACAGUGGGGUUUAAGCUCGGGCUACCACAGACUCUACCCUGAUGUUGCUGCCUCACUUAAGCUCCGGUGCUGCCAUUGCUAUGCUGUGGCCGACGGUGAUGAGCCCGAGACCCUAUCAUAACUACUCUCUUA
rnacentral:lncRNA from 1 species